CCUGCACUGACAGUAUGGGCCUAUGCAAAAGAUAUUUACCAGCCUCACUCUCUUCUGAAAUCAAAGUACUGGCACCAGAUGCCCCUCAAGAUUUCCAUCUCAGUGCUUCAGCAUGUCCAAACAUUAUAUGAGCAGCUUCAUAUUCUGUGAGACUGGGUUCAGGUGAAUGGUUUCUCUCCAGUGUGAAGUCUUUCAUCCUUGCGAUGGUUGCUCUUAAAGGGGACCCGUCACCCAAAAAAUUAUUCAAU